ACUCAAAUGAAUAGACGGGAGCUCGCACAAGCGGUGGAGCGUGUGGCUCAAUUCGUCGCUAAACGAAGAACCUUACCAGGGUUAGAAAUCCUACUGCACGCCUCGGGAAACCAAGGAAGCUUUCGAAGGUGUAGGACAGGUGAUGCACGGCUGUCGUCAGUUCGUGGUUUGAAUCGUUCCCUUCAGUGGGGUAACGAACGCAACCCUCGUUGCCAGUUAUAAGUGUCUGGCGAGACUGCCCCCUCACGGGGGAGGAAGGUGAGGAUGACGCCAAGUCAGCGUGUCCCUCUGAUAUCCUGGGCCGCACACGCGCUACAAUCGCCGUUACAAAGGGGCGCAAUGUCGCAAGACGGAGCAAAUCCCUAAAAGCGGCGCCAGUUCGGAUUGGAGUCUGCAACUCGACUCCAUGAAGCCGGAAUCGCUAGUAAUCGUGGGUCAGCUAUACCACGGUGAAUACGUUCUCGAGCUUUGUACACACCGCCCGU
rnacentral:rRNA from 1 species